GAUCUGGAAUAAAUGCUGAUAUCCUAGGUAAUUGAAGAUGAUGCAAUGAGAGGGAGAUAGAUACAGAAUGAAAAAUGGUGAAACUCUCCCAUUGAAUCAGAAUUUAAGAGUGACACGUGCUUAUAGUAAUGGGUUCAAGACAAAAUUGUUUGAAAUUAAACUUCUUUCUAUAGUGAUGCAUAUCAGAAUAAGCUUUAUGAAGAACUAACUCAUAACAUAAUCAUCAAACUAUCUUUGAUACAAAUGCAGAGAUAUAAAAAGUUGAGAAUUUUACUUGGCAGGGUCAUCAAUUUUGGU